rnacentral:ncRNA from 1 species
ACGGCAGACCGGGAAGGCCAAGACCGAACCAGAAGAGAAGGUUCCGCCUCCCGACCCGGACUACCCAGCACGGACCCCGGCACCCACGCGGAGCCAUAGCCGCUGACAGGGCAGAAGUGUUGCGGGCCUGCGUAACUGCGAAUCACGAAUCCAUGCAUAUGACCCCAGGGGUGGGGCCGCGAUGGGUCGUCUCGCAAGAACGCCGAGGCCACCCCGCGCAACCCACCCAGCACGCCUGGUAACCGGUACUCCGUGCUAGCGGGCGGCGAUCCGAGACACCUCGGGGCGCCGCCCGCUUUUACGU